UAUGGCGGUAGAUUUUAAAAUAUUUUUAUAAAAAAUGGACUCCGAAUUCACGAUUCCUUUAACAAAAGACGAUCUCCUGUGUCCGGCAGAAGGCUCUUAUGUUGUCCAAGAGGUUUAUUCUGUUCGUGGCUUGCCAGGAAAGAUAAACGGUGAGAAAGCAUAGCUAAAUUUAGUGUGACAUUUUCUUGUGUUUACAUGCCGAAAUAUGGCUCGUAUUUUGGCCAAUGUUUAUAGUGAAUGGAGGUUUAUAUUUAGCACGAUCUCUUGCAGAUGCGGUUAAUGUGCUUAACAGUGGACCGUACAAUAUUCUGCGAGAGUUUGAUGUUUUCUAUAGCAUUGCAAA